rnacentral:rRNA from 1 species
ACCCACGCGCUCCCCCCCCGGGGGCCCGCGAAGCAACCCUAAGAGUGGAACCGCAAUAGUCGAGAAGAGAAUCUACGAAAAAACAAACAAACUUUCACAACGGAUUUCUUGGUUUUCGCAUUCGAUGAAGAGCGCACCGAAUGGCGAUACCUGGGGUGAACUGCAGCCAUCGUGAAUCAUCGAGUUCUUGAACGCACAUUGCGCCCCUCGGCAUUCCGGGGGGCAUGCCUGUUUGAGCGUCGUUUCCAUCUUGCGCGUGCGCAGAGUUGGGGGAGCGGAGCGGACGACGUGUAAAGAGCGUCGGAGCUGCGACUCGCCUGAAAGGGAGCGAAGCUGGCCGAGCGAACUAUACUUUUUUUCAGGGACGCUUGGCGGCCGAGAGCGAGUGUUGCGAGACAACAAAAAGCUCGACCUCAAAUCAGGUAGGAAUACCCGCUGAACUUAAGCAUACAAAAGGCCGG